AUGUUAUGUGUAAAUAGACCAUGUUCAUCGCAUUGAGACGAGAGUCACGAGACAAAGAAAGAGAACAGAUAGCGAGCAGAGCGGUAAGAGAGAGAAACAGAGAUCCGGGAGCCGGCGAGUCUCUGGCAACCGGCCUUCGACGCGUGCUCGCCUCCCACAAACAGAACUGAACGACUCUAGGGCUUUUCGGUGAAGAUUAUGAAGUGCAGUAAUAUGGACACCACUCGUCGCGGUGACUGUCAUCGCCGCUGCUGACAUGAAGAUUUAGGGUUCCGCCGUGACAGAGUGUGACGAUGGUGUUGUUAGUUGUCACCGAAGGUGAGUAACUCUGGCCAAUCGACUCUAUGGUGUUUCUGUGCAACCAAAAUCGGCACCGAUCAGAUACAUUUUAUCUUAUGGAAAAAUAAGGAAAGGCAGAACAGCAAAGAUGGGGAAUUGAACCAACAUCAAGUGGGUAACACCGGAUGCAUCUAAACCACUAAUCCAUUGAGCUUUUCCAGGUUUCUCAAAAUGCUUAUUUAUAGAUAUAUAACAUCAUCGGCAAACUAUACAUAAAAAGACCCAAGACUGAAGAAAAAGGAUAGGAGACAGGAUGCGGUCUGAUGGUGGGGUCUCUAAGAUGUCUAUUUGGUGGCAUGGGCAUAUGGAUAUGGAUCACUAUAAUCAGCUCCAGUAUAUGGAUGUCCCGCUAACAUGGCCGAAUGAAACAGGUCCGAUUGCUACGAUGACCUGAAUUUUACUGUUUGGUAUAAGUCGGAGUUAAGGUAACCUUUAAAACAAAGACUCUGUUUGGCAAGUUGUAUUGAUUUUAAAAGUCUACAUGUUGUAAAAGAAAAUAUGUAAUUAGAGAUUAGCAUUUGAUGUAUAAAAUUUGCUGCUAUGAAUGAAUGUUUUGGAAACUAACUCAUAUGUUAAAAACGGAAGGCAAAUGAACAGUGUUAUCAUCUGCGUGGAAGGUUUUGAUUCAGUUUUUUUCUUUUCUCUUCUUUCGUAAUGUUUUCAAGUUAUUCGAUUUCACCUAUGACGUUUUGCUGGAGUGGUUAUGUUCCAUGUUUUGUUGGUACCGGUCCGGGUUCGACCCCCAGCUUCAAGACAAUUCACGCGUGUAUUUCGAAGAAAGAUCAUAUCAAGAUCCAAUGUUUUUAAAAAUAAAGUGGUUUGAUUUUAUGAUUUGGUUUGUUUUUUGCCUAUUGAUACUUUUCUGUGAUGGAUGUUAUGUGUAAAUAGACCAUGUUCAUCGCAUUGGUAGGUCAUAAUAAAAGGCUUUA
rnacentral:lncRNA from 1 species